rnacentral:rRNA from 1 species
GACAGAGGGUGCAAACGUUGUUCGGAAUUACUGGGCGUAAAGCGCGUGUAGGCGGCCCCGCAAGUCGGAUGUGAAAGCCCUCGGCUCAACCGGGGAAGUGCAUUCGAAACUGCAGGGCUAGAGUCCCGGAGAGGAUAGUGGAAUUCUCGGUGUAGAGGUGAAAUGCGUAGAUAUCGAGAGGAACACCGGUGGCGAAGGCGGCUAUCUGGACGGUGACUGACGCUGAGACGCGAAAGCGUGGGGAGCAAACAGG